GGUGGGGUACAGGGAGGGUGGGUCUCCCCUCUUCAAUUCCUCCUAUUGUUCCCCAGAAGUCUUAUCUGGGUUGUACGUCCUGUCCCCCCCCUUAGAGGUCCCUCCCCCCAUUGUCGGCCAAAGGGACCUCAGGCCCACAGGGAGGCUCCUGCUCCUCCUCACCCUCCCACCCCAGCAGCCUAUUGUCUGCUGAGGAAGCCCAAGUACACGUGACCAAGCCCAGGGGACAAAUGGACACAGUGGACACACCGAUGCCCACGGACCCAGGAUAGGGCAUCUGGACAUGGAUCUCGGCGUGUUUGGCUUUCUCUGUCCCAGGGGCUGUCCCAUAAGUAGGGAAGGGUGAAGGCCCCUGUGGGCUGUGCAUCUUGGGUCUGUGGCCUGAAGAAGAAUCCUUUCCUGCUCACGAUGGAUAUGCCUUAUGACCUCGCAGACCGCAAAAAGAAGGAGAUCCAAAGCUGAAAAGGGCCACAGCCCCCAGCCUCCUCUCCACCUUUCCAUUCUCCCUCAGCAGAACCUGGAGGCCUCAGAAGGAAAGUGCAUGCCCUAGCCAAGCCACCUCCUCUUGCCAGGCAUCUUAGAUGAUCCGAGACCAUCAGCCUCUCCCAGGGUUGAACUGGAGGAGGGACAGGUAAGAGUAGGGCAGUAGGAAGGGGCAGACAAAAGGCAGGUGGUGGUUAUAAGGAAAUAUGGGGGGAAGGGAAUUUAGGGAUCCCAGAACAAGAGGAGCCCUCCCCAUUCUAUAGCAGGGGCGCUCCAUUCCUCAUACCUGUGUGUCCAGGGGCAGGGGGGCUCUGGCCACCUCCCCUUUGGGCAACAGCAGCAGGGAGGGGAGAGAGCCAUUGAUGGGUGCUUGUGUGCUGACCUGGGCCCGGUCUCCAGGCCGGAUUCUCCCAGGACUCCCCACCCUAAGCCCUCCUGGCCGCCCCAGGCUGUUGGUCUGACUCUCCCUCCUCUGAUACUCAAUGGGUGACUGCAAUGCUGGGGCAAAGAGAGGAACAGAAGGAGAGUUACAACAGAGACAGGCCUUUUCCCUAAGAGCUCUGCCCAGACCACCCUCCCACUUUGCCCUCCUCCCAUGAACUGUCAAUCAGUAUAAAUUGCUGGGGAGAUGAAGAGAAGCUGGGGUCAGAGGGCAGGGAUUGGAGACUGGGCAGUGAGGGAGGGAUUCAGGAGGUCAAAGGGCCGAAGGAACAUGUAGGGGAGGGAGGGUGAGAGCUUCACCAUUGAGAAAGUUCCGCUGGCUUUCCAGGAUCUGAGCCACUUGCUUGAUCCAGGCCUGACUGACCGCAGGAUCUGCAGUCUGUAGGACAUAGCGCUGGAUCCCACCCUCUGGCCCUCUGGAGGUCAGUGCAAAGCGGCAAGGGUCACCUUGGAGGUUCCCCUCCAGUCCCAGGCAGCUCACCUGGAUUGGCAAAUAGGAGACAGCCCCCAAAUUCUUUAGGCCCUCUCCAGUUCCUGCCCCUUCCAACAAAUCCAAGAACCAGACAUUCUCUCAGAGGUCUCACCCUAUCCCAGGCAGACCCCUCCCUUGUGGCCUCCUCCCCACCUUGAUGCUGCUUUUGUACACAUAUCCAGCCUGCGUUCCACCUCGUACUCCUCCUCCCAGGGCCUCGCUGAAGAUGAUGAUUUGCUCAAAGAGGAAGACACGUCUCUCUCGACCCCGGGAGGAGAGCAGACCGCCAGCCUCAGGCUCUGUGACCCAGAAUGUGUCCUGGCCCAAGAGCUUCCCCUGAGCAGUCAGUUUGCCCUAGAACCAAAGGACGGUGGCUUUGAGAAAAAAGUGAGAAGAGAAAAGGGGCACUCUCUGUUCCUCCCUCCUUCCCCUGACGCUCCCAAUCAACCAUGGGGUCAGUCCCAGGGGAGGACAAUUCCCUAUUAGGACGUCCCAAGUACUCAGACUGGGGCAGAAGAGCAUUGGGCCUCCAGUUUCCUGUUCUAUCCCCAUACCUCAAACCCCCGAAGUCUCCCCAGGGUCAUCAUGUCAUUGCAGCGCUUGGGUACAAAGCACAUGACCUCCACAGCUUGCUGGGUCGCAGGUGAAGAGAGAAGCAUUGUCAUUGUCAAGGAAGAGACCUCUUCAGACCAUGUUUCACUUCUCAACCAGCCUCCCCGUAAAAGGGAGACAGCUCAAACCACCCAAGGAGCUGGGAGAACCCAGAAGACUAAAACAGUAAGAUCCUGGAAGGAUAAAAAAAAGUGUCCAGGAAGAUCUGGGAGUCCUCACCUCCAGCUCUUCAGUAUCCAUCCCAGCUCUACUGUAAUAUUUGAGAAAAUCCUAAAAUGUAGGAAAGAAACGCUCAGGGAGGUUUUGAGGACACCCUCAGAAACUCUCACAUCCUCCCCUUGAAGGCACAGGUGAGGAUGCCCAGGAAGUAUGGGGGGCGCCUUAGGAACUCUGAAGAGAUGAAUGAGAAAAGGGCUGUCCCAACUAGAGGUACCCCCAGGGAACAAGUGGUCCUGACCUUGAGCAACAGCUGGUAUUUCAUGAUCCUCUGCACUGGUUUGAUGAGGAGGUCAUUGAGCUGCAGGCGGUGCCCUAGCUGCUGCCGGAGCUCCUGGGGACAGGGACUGGGUGGUUAUGUAGCCUGGAAAGCCUGAUGAUUCUGUUCCCCUUUCCCCAAGGUGCCUCGGCCACUGACCUCAAAGUAGCUGUCCCCAAACUCUGACACCACGUGCUCGGACUUGGGCUUAUUCUGGCAGUACACCACGUACAUAUGCAGCCUGCGCUCCUAACAGGGGUAAAGUUUAAGGAGAGCCAGAUGGGUGCGGAGAGAAAGCCCCUCUCCAGAGAGCUGUGACCCACUCCCAAGCCCCUCCCCUCCAGGGCCCCACCCUCUUAGGCCUCACGUGUUUGAUGAAUAGCUGAGCCAGCCAAUCAGGAUCCUUCAAACACUGCUGCAGCUCCUGCAGGAAAUAGCUGGAAGGGUUGGCAGGGAAAAGGCUGGUCAAAUACCCCCACCCCACUCAACUUAGAGCUGUCUACCCUAGCUGUGCCAUUAAGCCACUCCAAACGUUCCUCAGGCAGCAGUGGGCCCAUGGGUGGGAUACAGAGACUACCAAACAUCUAUGCCCUUCACCCUCACUCUCAGGAAUCCAUCACUCACUCUCGAUGCCACUCAUAGAUUUGCUGGAUGUUCCCAAACACAAUCCUGUCACGGCCUCGAAGACUCUCUGGGACCCCCUGAGCGGCCAUGGUGGCCAUGUAACCCUGUAGGAAGGUUGGGGUGAGAGCGUGAGCGUCAGGGGCCAGCCCUGGUAGGAAAAACCCCUCCCCCCCAGAAGUCUAGGAUGUAGGGGGGUGCUGGGAAGGUGGGACAGAGGAGUAUCAAGGCAUCCCCUAAAAUUAGCCUUGGGCAGAGGGAAAGGGCUGGGCUAGAGCUGAGAAGAGAAAAGGGACCUACCUCCACAAUCUGCCCCAAGUCAUCCACAUACAUUUUCUCUGUCUCUACCAGUUCACUCAAGACAUACCUGGGAAGAGAGCAGGAGUGCACAUGGUUGAUUUAGCCACUUCCUCCCUACUGGACUAGAAGCUCCUUCAUUACCACAACCAACCUCAGAGGAAAUUCCAAGUAUCAAAUCUAAAAUGUGAGGGACAGUUCUCUGGAAGUUGCACAACUGGGGGGGCGGGGGGAGGGAGCAAAAGGGAGGGAGAGUGUGGGGACACUUACAUACUCCUUUCCAGAGCCUUCUUCUUCUGUUCCUCCUCACUCUCAGGGGCCUGGGAUAGGGUCUCCUCCUCAGGUGGCUGGAAGGAAAGAACAUCCUAGAGUAAGCAAAUGGAUGCCUUUUGGGGAGCUGUGCAGAUCCAUUUCUUCAUACCUGUGUCUUAUCUCCAGGGCCCUCCAACAAUGUGGUCAGCAGGGUCAGUUCUGGCAGCUCCUCUCCAGUGGCUAGAGCUGGUUCCAGCAUCCAGUUCUGGGAACCAGAGGUCAAGUGUCGGAGGUCAUGGACAGUAGCUACCUCUCCCCAAUGACCAGUGGCCCCCAACCUGCCCUCUCUCCCAGUGUCCUUCAUGGAUGUCAUACAUGCUUCUGUGGUGCUCCCUGCUCACCUCAUAUGGUCCAGCCUGGCCACCGUCUGCCUCAGUUUCCACACUGAGACAAUGUUUGGAAUGACCCAACCAUCUUCUCAGGCCACUGACUGGCCCUGGGGGGCCCGGGGAACAGGGGCCAGAGCUGAGGCCAGAGCUGGGGCCAGAGAGGGCAGCCAGACCCGAAGCAGCUGAAGCUGAGAUACUCCCCUCACUGCCAGCAAUGGAAUAGGAUUCUAAUGGGGAGUGGGGGGAGAAAAGGGGCCAUAGAUAUUACUCUAGCUCCAGAUGCAGGGCCCCUAGGGAGCUCCCAGAGGCUCUUCUUCAUGAUGCUGAGCCCCUCUCCCCCAGGGCCCACUCUCUUGCCAUCCUCAUUUGAGUUGGCAGGGAUAGAAAAUUUCACCUAGGCACCCUUGGAAGGAAGGACAGUAAACACCUGGGCUCCCAAGGCCUGGAAACCUCCGUUCCCCCAUAUCCUGAGCAUGGCAUAGAUAUGGGGGGGCAGCCAUCUGGGCAGACACUGGAAGUUGAGGGUGGCCAUCUGCUCUCCUACAAUCUGCCCCCUUCCAAUGGGCACAGACCAUUCCCUGAGAAGGUGGGGGGGGGCAGCUAAAAGCCCAUCAGCCACCCCCAGACUCCUCCUCCACCAGUUGCAGUAAUCACUAUAAAAAGAAAAGACUUCUGCAGCCCAUCUCCCCAACACAUGCACAAACCCAAUAGAGGGGGCAAGUGAGGAGAGCUCGUGAGGGCUAUCUGCCCUGGGCCCAGGAACAGAGGAGCUGUGCUUUGUCAUAAAGCCCCUGCUAGACCCCCAUCCUCAUUCCUCCAUUCCUCUGGCCCUUUUCAGAUCUGAAGUAGAUUCUCAGCAAAAGGAUUUAAGGAAGAUGCAGUUCUAGGCCCAAGGGGAUUGUGGAUGGGUUUUUCUCAUACCCAGUUGACUACAAAACAGAGAGCAGUCUCCUGCCCCUUCCCCAAUUUCCUUAACUUGAACUGAUAAAAAAUUUGGAGGCAGACGGGAUCUUGGAGAUCAUCUAUUAAGUCACUUUCCUGGAAAACACAGGUACAGGUCUCCAGCCUCUAAAUCCCUAGGGUCAGCGCAAUCCGAAGUCCUGAACCCUCGGCCCACCCCCCCCCACCCCCCGCCCCAACUCAACACUGGGCCAUUGCGACCUCCUAGAACUCACCACGUCCCCCCCGGGCGAAGCAGCAGCCGCAUUUUGCCAGCACUUUUCGGAUCACAUGGGGACAGGCACAGCGACCCCCCUUGUGCCCCCCCCGCAUGGCGCCCGGGCCCCCCCGCACCCCCCACCCGGGCCGGCCAUGCAGGGGGAAUCACGGGGGGCGGGGCGGGGACGGCGCCGGGCGCGCACCCCCCCUCCCUCCUACCCCGCUCCAGGCUGGGGGAGGGGGGGAGGGACGGAACAGGGAGGGGGAGUCCAGGGGUAGGCGGAAGUCUGGUCUGGAGGAGGGCUGGGGGCUCUGCAGAACGGGCGGCGCGAGGCCGGGCGGCCGAGCUGGGCGGGGAGUGUUUCCGGAACCCAGUCGGUGCGUGGCCCGGGGUCCAGAUGUCCAGCGGGGAGGGGAGGGAUGGUGGGGGAAGCUGGGCCGGGAUGCGGCAGCCUCUCCAGCUCUGUCUCCGGCCUCUCGGGUUUGGGAUGGUUCUAGGCCCGGGCAGGGAGAAGGCGGGGGCCGACUCCCCGAGUCACUGGCGCUGCGCGGGUCCGGGCCGAACGGCGAGCCGAAUAACAGGCCCGGCCGCGGUGCCGCCGCGGGGAGGGGCCUCUGCGGCCCAGCUCCGCCCUCUCCCUCCCGUUCCCCGCUCCAGCCCCAGCCUGUGCCGCGCUCCAGCCCCAAUCCCCCUCCCCCAGGCACCACCACGUUCCCACUCCACGUCCCCACAGCCUCCGCCUCUCCACUCCAGCCAGCCUCGGCUCCCCCGCCUCGGGUUCCCCUCCCUCCUGCCUCUCGGGCUCCCGACUGCGGUGCGCUGGGUGGGGGUUAAGCCGGGCGGCGGGGUCUGCCCAGGUCGCCCCUCAGCCUCUGCGGUGGAGAAGGGAGCGGACGGAUGGGCCUGGAUCUGUGCGAAGACGUCCUGGGUGUUGGGACGGUCCCAAGCCGCGCAGGGGUAGACAAGCCCCCUCCCCAACUUCGGGGAUGAGUGAAUGGGGAGCUCUGUGGGGAACACCGCCCAGGUGCCGCCCUCUCGCCAGACCCUUCUUUCCUCCAGGCCCCAGGACUCCAGCUGAGGCUAAUCACCAAUUAAGGCGAAGUCCUGGAGCCCGGGCUGGCGACGAGCCAGGGGUGGGGCGUGGGGACACUCCGCCUGCGGGGGCUCGGGACCAGCUGAUGUGGGGGACACACAGCGGACUAGAGGGCGAGAAGCCUGGAGGUCUUGGCAAUUAAAUGGGUCUCAUGCAGAUUAGAUGCGAACCUUUAUGCUAAUAAGCGCAGCAUUAUUUGAAUUCGCCACUGUGCGCAGGACCGCAAACUGUGCCCACCCACCCCCAGCUUCUUACCGGGCAGCGGAGCCCAGGCGGGAACCUCACGUUCGCGUUCCCCUUUCUGAUGCCCCUCGGUACAGUCAGACUGUGGCUCGGUCCCUCCUGGCCCUAGGGGGCUUCUCUUCGGGGGCUGUGUGGUAGUAAGGUAGUAAGAUUGGUAGUAAGGAAACCGCCCUCCACGCCCAGACUUGACCUCCCGCUUUCCCUUCUUCCUCCUGUCAAAUCCACAUUGUUGUAAAACGGUAGCCGAGGCUGGGUUGGAGGGAGCGGUUCACCCAGACCAGGGCUAUGGCCCUCUUUUGGAACUCUUAGAUUCCUGCAGAAUUCUGCCCUGCAGAAUUCCUGUUUGCAGGUAAAUUCAUUUGUGGGGUGCAGACCUCCUGAAACCGCCUAAAGAUACCCGACCCCACCGUGGUCCCACUUUCUUACCCCCGCCUGCCCGGGUAGGGCGCAUGCGCGCAGCAUGCCCCCCAUGACCCCCAGUAUCCGGUCAGUGCGGCCAGGGGCGGGGCGGUCCGGGGGCUUCAUGCUGGACCCCUACCCUGCUCCAAGUUUCAGGGCUGAGGGGGCACGGAAGCUGGGGGGCUCAAGGCCUGCGUGCGUCCGGGGAGUUGCUGCUGCCGAAUCCGCCCCCUGCCCGGCUCCGCCCCUACUCCCAUCCCAGCCAAACUUCUCAAAGGGGUAGGGUUGUUCCUUUCUCUACAACCAAAGUUCAACAACAAACAAACCCCUCUAAAUCCCGAUUCGGACAUGGAAGUGGCAGAAGCCCACUAAAUACCUUCUCCCCAAGCGCUCUGGAGACAGAGAGACUGGGGAGAUACACAGGGAUUUCCCCCGACCACCACCGCCUUCCCCUUCUCAGCAGGUUCCGCUCCCCACCCCACCCCCACCCUGGUCCACAGAACUGAACGGGUGUGGCAUGGAGAGUUGCAUAUUUUACUUUAUUUUUAUUAAAUUAAAAGCUACAGUCUGGCGGCGAUUCCAGAACAGGGUAAAGAGGCUCCUUAUAGGGGGCAGAGAAGAGCGGGAGACAGACUGACAGAGACGGAGACACAGGAGAGAAAAGACAAGGUUAAGGUAGAAGGGGGAUUAUUUCUGAAGAACACACAAGGCCGGCUCCUUGGGGGCUCACACCAGCCCCAUUCCCCCUCCCCCACACCUAAGUUCAGCAGUGGAGAAGUUUGUGGGGGCAGGGGGCUCAAGAGACCCUCCCUCCCCACCCAGGUCCUUUCUCAGCUUAGUCACUGGAGCACAGCACAUACCAGAAAAAGCCAAGGGCAAUGGAGGGGGUAGGGAGAUCGGGAGUAUGUACACAGGGAGGAGGGGAGCAGAGCCUUCUGCCAGAAGGGAGUGGCUCUCGCACUGCACUGAAGCACUUGGCCUGUGGGGGACAGGGGAAGGGAUUGCCCCCUCCCUCUCUGAACUCCUUCCCCAGUCAGACUGGUCCCCUAUUUGUGUGGCGUGGGGGGCAGAGGGAGAGAGGAGAACAGAGGCUUCCGCUGGGUCCUAUGGAGAAAGGCAAGGGCCUGGCAAAGGGGACGUCCUUCAGUCAUCUGUGAUACCCUUGGCUCUCAGCUCUUCUUGCACCCGGGUCAGGUACGUGGGGUCCGGGUACCCAAACCUGGGAGCAAAGAGAAAUGAAGGUCAGGAUUAGCUGUUUUAGCUUACUCGUAUUAGCCUCAUGCUCACCUUCAUUCUGGGUGCCCCAUUCCAGCCCCUUCCCGUCUCCCCUAAGGAUAUGCAAAUCUGAGAUAACUUAGCCCACUUCUGCUUAUUUUCAUAGGUGAAGCUGGGCAUAUUGGACCAGGUUUAAUGUAGAGAAACUGGGACGGAAAAGAUGGUUGAAUAGUUUGGGGGUGGUCCUCUCCAGUCGGGAGGUUCCCAGAGAGAGGGGGCCCGAUGUGGUUCCCUCACUGGAAAUGGAGAGAAGGGGAGGAGCCAAGGAAAAGAAAACGAAGGAGGGUCGCACAGCUGGGGUCCCCCUGUGCAGCUGGUCUUGUGGUGGAUGUCGUUCCAGGUGAUGACAUUCGGUCUCCCUGUGGUCAUGGACGUGCCAAUAGUGAAGGUGAGACGCUGGUCAAAUGCCUUGCGGAACAGGGUCAGCACCUUGUUGCCCUCAGGGCAGUCCGGGAGGUAGGCCACCCGUGUGGUGCCAGGAUACCGAACUCCUGGGUUCGGGUGUUCAGCCUGGGAGGAAGGGGAAGCAAAGUGGACAAUGAGCAGCUGGGCAUCUGAAGGCCCAUGAUGCCAGCAGAGGGUCAUCCUGGCCAGCUGUCUGUCUGGGGCCACCCCCAGCUAAUGCUGGCAAGGCAGCCACAGGCUGACAGCCUUUCAAGGAAGGAGAGACUUCCUUGACAGGUUUGGGGAGCAGAAGCCUGUCUUUGGACAAAACCCUUACUGUUAAAGAGGUUCUUUCUGCGGCCUCAAUCCCUCAAGUCUCAAUUCGGCAAUGAACGGAUUCCCAAAAGUGACGGAAAGUAGCUGGUCCUUACUCAACAGACAGCUCAGCAGAAACGUGAAGACUGACAAUAAUCUAUCUUGCAGCCUUCCCUUCUCCCACCUGAAAACACUCCCAGUGCUUCUUUGCCUGCCUAACCUGUUCCAUUUUCCCAUUACUCCUCUUCAGAGCUUCCUCAUCCCUCUGCCAACCAGGACCGGCAAUCACUCUUGGUCAAGCAGGAAAACAGCCAUAGGCUCUUGACCACUCCUGUUUUAACCUUCCACUGUCAUCAAGAUUUUCCUCCCUUGUCAAUCUGGAACACAGUAACGCUCUUGCUCUGUGAGGAGGGUCAGAUCCCUUCGGGCUGUGCCUGCCUACACGUGAGCCACCAUCUCCACGGAAUUCACCUCUGCCAGGAAUAGCUGAUGACGUCCAAGGUCAUCAAGGAAACGGUAUUCAAUUCCUUUCUCCCAUACCUGAUUUUCAUGUGUGCCAUGGAGUCGUGGAACGGAAAAGCUGGGCCUCAAGGGGGACCUCCCAGCUCCAGGGCACUGAGUGGGAAGGCAUGCUGGGAGACGGCAAGACUACAUCACAUCUAACGAACACACUCCCCCUCACCCAGUUUUCCUAGGCCAGAGAACAUGCUUGGGGCACACCAAAGGAGCUCGGGCUAAACCAAAGGGCAAAGGCAGGCCAUAGGUCUUCUUACCCCCUGGACACCGGGCGGGAAGACGUACUGGAUGACGAUGGUGCCGUACUUCUCAUAGCUUGGCAGCAGGAGUGUGGCGUCCUUAGAGACCAGCAUCCGCCCAUUCUGGGGCUGGUUGCCCACCAGCUGCCCAUAGAAGCGGCCACACAUGGGACAGGCCUUUUUCACCUGCAGGGCUCGGGUGAUGCAGCCCUCACAGAAUGAGUGCCGGCACUUCUCCAAUGUCUUGGCAUUCUGAAUCUCCCCCAGACAGAUGGGGCAGGUGCUCUCCUGCUCUUCUGUCUCCUCCCGAAGGCGGGGAGGAAGAGGAGGGGGUAGGGGAGGAGGAGGCGGGGGAAGCCCCCGAGCCCCUGGGGGCAGGAGCGGGGCUGCUCGCAGAGGGGGAGGGGGAGGCCCUGGGCGGUGCAGCUCAGGGUGUUCCCCACCACCCCCCAAAGCUAGGCAGCCCAUAAGCUCUCCCUGCCUCUGAGCUUUCUUCAGCUCUUUCUCGGCCUCUUUCAGCAGCCCCUUGAGAGCCUUCCGGGCCAGGUAGAGCCCAUUAGGAGGAGCAGGGGGAGGGCCCUGCGGGGAAAGCUGGAGGACAUAGAUGUCAGAAGUCUCGCCGUCUAUGAGGAUGGACACACGGUGCUCCUCCCGAAGCCGGGCCAGCCGGGCUGGGGUCUCCUUGCUCAGGAAGUCCCACACAGGCUUAGAGACAGUCACCUUGUUCUUGCAGGUGCCUCCACAGGCUGCCAUUCUGGACAGGACGAACGACACUGCCCCCAGGGUGAAAGGGACUCAGGGUGGGGGGUCCCUAUUUGACAAAGUCAGUGCCUCCUACUUCAGGUUCCUUUCCAACCCUAUAUUACCUCUACUGUCUCAAAGGCCAACCCCAACUCCUCCCCCAAGUUCAUUUUCUGUCUCCUCCUAUCUUUCAAACCCCCAGCACCCACUGAAGAGCAAAACAAGUUUUAAUAACUUUAUUAUUAUCAUCAUCUGAGCCAAGCAUCAGUCUUGGUUCUCUUUACACUCCUCCCAAGAUCACAGAAAUCAUCUAGCCCUCCUCCCUCUGGGUGAAAACUGGGUUCUUUAAAGGGGAGGGAGACUUUUUGACCCUCCUUUUUGCUCACUUUGAUCCUGAAGAGCUUAGAAUUGGCAUGCAGGCUCUCUCUCUCUGUCCCUGCUCCCUACUUGUAGGUUGUGUGACCUGGUAGGUGGAAAGGAAAAGGAGGGAAAGUGAGAAGCCCCCUACCCCCUUCCCACAUGCCCCAACCCAGCAGCCCAUGUAACAGAAGACUGGGAACCUGGGUAUAAGUUACUGGGAAUGGGAUUACUUGGCACAUGGAAUGGAGGAAACCAACUUACAGGUGAAAGCUGAAGUUCCCAAAGGAGGCACAUACCUGGAAAGCCCAUGGACGAUGAAAGCAGCAGAAAUUCCUCUUUUUCCACACUCAGCUGACCAGGUCUAGGGGGAAGGGGGACAGUAAAGGGAUAUGAUGACCAAUGUCACUCCACCAGCAGCCCAGAAACAAAUCAGAAACUCCUCUUCCAUUUCUUCUCCUUCUUUCCUGCAGAAUCCCAUCCCCAGCCUCUCCCCAAGUUGCUAAAGAUGGAACUUCAACAAUGCUAACUUUCCUCUUUUCUCCUCCAGCUCUGAGGCUCUGGAGAAAGCCUAGGGCACAGAUAAGAGAAGUCAGGAAGGGUGAAAGCCCACACAGAUGGAGGACUUUCCUGCCACCUCCCUCAGAUCACAUGGAUAAGAAGAUUUCCUAGGCUCCCAACUCCUUACCGUGCCCCAUAUUCCCAAGUAAUUCAGCCCCUAUCGCUAGGGAGACUUCUUUGAGGAGAAGUCCGUUUGGAAUGCAAACAAAGUGGCAAGAACCCCUGCAAUAACGAAGUUCUUACUGUCACCUUUUAAACCCAGCACUAGAGCAUAAGCCUGUCAGCAACCCAGUCUGCAUUUAGGGAGGGGUGGGGAACAGCAGGGGCUCAGCUGGAGGAGCCUGCUGUUUCCCCUGAGUCUUAACCAUGUUCAGCUACAGAGGUGUACCUACAACACCUCCACAUGUAGCUCAAAUAGAAAGAGGGGCCAUUAGUGUGACCUCAAUUCCUAGACUGAUCCAAAGGGGAGCGGCUCUGUUUGUGCCUCCAUCAUAGUCCCCUCAAAGCCAUUUGCACCUCCAGGUUCAGAAAGUGAAAUUGAAAUCCUAGAACCUCAGCUCCUUCGGUCUGUCCAAGGUGGAACACCCCCCUCGCCAUCAGAGGGAACCCAGGACCUAGAUGUCCUUAGCUCCAAGUCCUGCUGGCACAGAAAAGGGAGGCGGGGCCACAGCUUAUGCUGGGUCUCCGAUUCCUCUGGGGCAACCCAGGCCGGACACAGGGCCAGUCCCUCCCUCCAGACAGAGGCCAGACAGGGGCAGCCGGGAGGGGCGAGGGUCCCUGGGGGCAUCAACUGAGGCAGCCCCACCCCUCCCCCCAUGACCUCCUGCAAGACCCAGAACCAGCCCCCACGUCCCCCUCUCGCCGGAGCCCCCAGAGCCCCAGCACUGGGUGGGGGUGCAUGUCGGCCCGAUCGCAGUCCUCAGAACCCCCAAAUGGAGGCCAAGGCUGGAGGGUGAUAGGAAGAGGAUCGGCCAGGCGUGGAGGGGGCCCCUGGAGCCGCGCGCGGGUUGUUACCUUCUGUGACCCCCACAACCUGCUCCCAGAUGGGUGUUGGUAAGUGCCUCUGAUUUUUGUUUCCACAAACAGGGAUACUGAGGCCAGUGCCGAAUGGGAGGUGAAUACAUUUUUCUUUUUAAUGCCUUGCGGGGGGGUGGGGGGGAUGUCAAGUCUAUGGUUUAAAUAGAGUUAAAAACUCUCAAAGAAAAAAACAGCUCUGUUCUGUUCUGCUUCCCACAUCAGAGCAAUCUCCGCCCCCAGUCCAACUCACUUCCCUGGGGCCACAUCAAGCCAGGUUUUUCCACCAGCCAAAAGACCUCAUCAGCCAAACAGUGCUGGAUCUCCCAGACUGGCAACAACCUCUGUUUAUCCACCCCUUUCUUCACUCCCCCUCUGGGCUGGAGGGUUGGUCACUUUUUUCUUUCCCAGGACCCUGCUGUCCUCUUCCUGCUCUGCAGAGAGGAUAUCUUUCCCAGGAAGCCUGGGGGACACCCAGUGCCUUCUUUUAGCUCCUUCAUGCAUGCUUUGAGAGGUUCACUCACCUUUACAAGAAUGGGUGUGUGAUCAAGCCCAGAACCCUGGGGGAAGAGGGGCAGUCACAUCAUCUGUUCUCCCUGCCCCAACCCAUAGCUGAACUCCCACAAAGCUGGAGAGUAAGUUUUUCAUUCCCAUGCACACCCCUCACAACCUUUUAAGUUCACAGCUAUCUAUCUAGAAAGCCACAUUCUUAGUUAGGAGCCCAACACCUUAAAGAUCAAUUCUUCAUCUGGUCUCCACACCCCUAAGCACAGUGUUCCUCAGGAAAGUGGGGGAGGGGAGGCAUGCCUAUGAAGGAAUACGGCUUCAAUAAGUUACUUCCUAUACAAUGACAGCAAUGGGAGUAAAUACACAAGAUGUUUUUUUAUUAAUUAAUAAAACAAAAAAGAUGAAAAACAGAAGCAACAAAUGAAGACCAUACUGCUCAUGAUACAUCAGCCACAUGGUCAGAAAACCAAUUUCUAAAGAGCAACAGCUGCUGGUGUCACAGAGUUUUAUUGCAUUCAACAGGGGAAAAAGGUAGACGGUUGGAAUGAGAGAGAUCAUCAGGCCCC